rnacentral:rRNA from 1 species
GAUGAACGCUGGCGGUGUGCCUAAUACAUGCAAGUCGAACGAACGGACGAGAAGCUGGCUUCUCUGGUGUUAGCGGCGGACGUGUGAGUAACACGUGGAUAACGUCCCUAUAAGGCUGGGAUAACUUCGGGAAGCCGGAGCUAAUACCAGAUAAUAUUUUGAACCGCAUGGUUCAAAAGUGAAAGAGGGUCUUGCUGUCACUUAUAGAUGGAUCCGCGCUGCAUUAGCUAGUGGGUAAGGUAACGGCUUACCAAGGCAACGAUGCAUAGCCGACCUGAGAGGGUGAUCGGCCACACUGGAACUGAGACACGGCGCAGACUCCUACGGGAGGCAGCAGUAGGGAAUCUUACGCAAUGGGCGAAAGCCUGACGGAGCAACGCCGCGUGAGUGAUGAAGGUCUUCGGCUCGUAAAACUAUGUUAUUCGGGAAGAACAUAUGUGUAAGUAACUGUGCACAUAUUGACGGUACCUAAUCAGAAAGCCACGGCUAACUACGUG